rnacentral:rRNA from 1 species
CAGUAGCCGCGGUAAUACGAAGGGUGCAAGCGUUAAUCGGAAUUACUGGGCGUAAAGCGUGCGUAGGCGGUGAGUUAAGUCUGCUGUGAAAUCCCCGGGCUCAACCUGGGAAUGGCAGUGGAUACUGGCUCGCUAGAGUGUGUCAGAGGAUGGUGGAAUUCCCGGUGUAGCGGUGAAAUGCGUAGAGAUCGGGGGGAACCUCAGUGGCGAAGGCGGCCAUCUGGGACAACACUGACGCUGAGGCACGAAAGCGUGGGGAGCAAACAGGAUUAGAUACCCCUGUAGUCCCUGUCUCCUAUAC